UAGUUUAAUGGUAAAACACUUGACGCGUAAUCACAGAGAUGUGAGUUCGAGUCUCAC
rnacentral:tRNA from 1 species